rnacentral:lncRNA from 1 species
AAAUUAAAUUGUAUUGAUUUUCUCUUUUCAAUUUUAUUGAUUUCAUCUUUUACCUAUUAUUUCCUGUCCUCUGCGUGCUCUGAUUUUAUUUUGCUCUUUUUCUGGUUUCUUUAGGUGAAAGCUUAAAUUAUUGAUGUGAGACUUUUCUUCUUUUCUAAUAUAUGCUUCUAACGCUGAUUAUUUCCCUCUUCACAAUGCUUUAUCUGUAUCUUACCAUGUUUUAUAUGUUUUAUUUAUAUUUAGGUCUUUAUUAUUUUUAAUUUCCCCCAAGAUUAUAACUCAUGAGCUAUUUAGAAGAAUGCACUUCAAUUUCCAAAUGUUUGAGAACUUUCCUUUCCUUCCCAUUUUUAUGUAAUUAAAGCUUAUACUAUAGACACAUUAGAUUAAAAUUCAAUUACACUUGUUUAGUUACAUUGUAUAGGUUGUUCAAGUAUCAUUGGAGCAAACUUUUCAAAUAUUAACUUUAUGUAGUGGUUGUCAGUCUUUUGCACUUGUAGAGUGGCAAGUAAAAAAUACCCUGAAAAUAUGGCCCUCAGGCCGCUGGAGAAGCUCACAGAGACAGAAAUAGUGGGAAUUUUCUGAGUCCUCAGUGCUCAUUACUUUCUAGGCCAGCACACAGGGAUCCAACAAAGCCAGAGUUAGUGUUCAUUAAAGGGCAGUGGGAUAGAAGGAUGGAGAAUGCCCUGGUAUCACCUAGCUGGUUCUAAUGACCCAUGCAGGAUCCCAUGGUAUAAGCUGGCUUGUAACAUAACUCGUUCAAGACUCCUUCUGUGCAUUAAUGAGUGAAUCUGUAUUUGAACAUGUUCACAUGAACAGAUUGGAAGAGACGAUAAAUUUACCAUGAGCAAUCCCUUUAGGACUGGUUUUAGGAACUUACUGAUCCUGUAUUCAUCUUGGGCAUUUGUCUGUUGUAUUUGCUGUCACAGAAUGUCUUUUAAUCCCAAAUACACUUCUACAGAUACAUCCAAUACAAGUCCCUAGUCGUGAUCUUUGGAAUGAAGUAAUACAUUUCAAAGAACAUUAGAAGGAAGGACUAUGGCAGGAGAGAUGGAAUUGGUCCUUCAGAGGACUGGGAUGAAGAUGAGAAAUGAACCAGCAUUAGGACAGCCUUAGUCUCAAUACAUUUGCCUAACAUAAGUUCAAAGGGCACAGUUGUGUGCACAAAGUAUCCUUGAUGACAUCAUAACUCAGAAUUCAGUAAAACAGCUCAUCAGGUCCCUCACAGGGGAUGUGCUAGGGUGGUGGCCACUCUUGAGACUCUGUGCCCAGUGAUGAAAAAUAGUAUGAAGGUUGUUUAAAAACGAAAAAUAGAAUUACCAUACUAUUCAACAAUCUUACUUCUCAGUAUAUAACCUAAAGAAUUAAAGGCAGGAUCUCAAAAAGAUAUUUGCACACCCAUGUUUAUUGCAGCAUUAUUCACAAUAGCCAAGAGAUAAAAGCAAUCGAAAUAACUUUGGUGGAUGAAAGGAUAAAAUAUGGUGUAUAUAUGUGUAUUUGUGUAAAUAUAUAUAAAGACUAAGCAGCCUUCAGAAAGAAGGAAACCAUGUCACAUGCUAGAUAGAACAUGGGUGAACCUCAAGAACAUUAUGCUAAGUGAAAUAAGCCAAUCACAAAAAGACAGAUUUUUUUUUUUCAUAUGAAGUAUUUAAAGUAGUCAAAAUCACAGUAGUGGUUGCCAAGAGCUGGGAGUGGGAGUGGUGGUGGUGGGAUUAGUGUUUAAUAUGUACAGAACUUUAGUUUUGGAAGAUGAAAAAUUUCUAAAGAUUAAGAAGUAAGAAUAUACUUAACGGGAGACUAUUUCUGCAAAUUAUAUCCUGUAAAGGAUUUAAAAAUAUAUAUAUAUAAAUAAAAUAUAUAUUUUCUUUUUAUUUUAUAUAUAAUAUAUAUAUUUUUUUCUUUUUUCUUUUUCUUUAUUUUAUAUAUAUUAUAUAUAUAAUAUAUAUAAUAUAUAUGUAAUUAUAUAUAUAUUACAUAUAUAUAUAAUUCACAGUAGCCAAAAAGUGAAAACAACCCAAAUGUUCAUCACCUGAUGAAUGAAUAAGUUUCAGGAUAUCCACCAAUGGAAUAUUAUUCAGCAAUAAAAAGGUUUGAUGUAAUGAUAGAUGCUAAAAACAUGGAUGAACCUUGGAAAUAUUUAAAGUAAAAUAAGACAGGUGUGAAAGACAUACAUUGUAUGAUUCCAUUCAUAUGCAAGUCCAGAGCAUGUAAAGCUAUAUAGAAAGUCAGUUCGUGGUUAUGUAGGCCUAGGAUGUAGAUCGGUGGGGGGCAGGGAGUGAUAGCUAAAGGACAAGGGGUUUUUUUUCUUCUUCAUUUUUUGAGAUGGAGUCUCACUCUGUCACCCAGGCUGGAGUGCAGCGGCACAAUCUUGGCUCACUGCAACCUCCGCCUCUCCGGUUCAAGCGAUUCUCCUGCUUCAGCCUCUCAUGUAGCUGGGAUCACAUGUGUGCCACCAUGCCCAGCUGAUUUUUGUAUUUUUAGUAGAGGCGGGGUUUCACCAUGUUGGCCAGGCUGGUCUCGAACUCUUCACCUCAAGUGAUUCACUCACCUCGGCCUCCCAAAGUGUUGGGAUUACAGGCGUGAGCCACUGCACCCAGCCUAGGGGUUUUCUUUUUGAGGUGAUAAAAAUGUUCUAAAGUUUAUAGUGAUGAUGCUUGCAAUUUCUAUAAGUAGACUUAAUGCAGUGAUGGUUGCAAAUUCUAUAAAUAUAUUUAAUGUGGUGAUGGUUGCAAAUUCUAUGAAAAACCCAAAUUGUACAAUUUCAAUGAGUGAAAGCAUGCUAUGUGAAUGUCUUCAUAAAGGUUUUAUUUAAAAAAUGAGCAAACGGUAGAAUGUUAACAUGGCCCACGUCUAUGUGGUGUCUAUAUUGGUUUCUAUUAUAUGUUUUCUAUGUGGUUGAAACAUUCCUAAUAAAAUGUGCAUAGUUUUUUAAAAAAGAAAACACAUCAGUGGACGUGAAUGCAGGAUGUCUUAUGAAUGCUCACACAGAAGCUCCCAUUCGUGAGGAAUGCAGGGAAAAGCAGAAGAUGGAGUAGGAGUUGGCAUGGCCCAGCUAGCUCAGAUGACACACGAUGGUCCCAGUGGCAUGACUUGGUUUGUGUGAUUUGUGCCUUGGGGUUUUAUUUUGGCACAUUAUAAAGGAGUAAAUAAAGCCUGUAUACAGUCAGUUUCUGUCUAUUCUAAUGAAGGGCAAGGGGAUGAAGGGAUUUACCUUGAGUAACCAUCCACUUACAUUUAUUAGGAAUCUUGUG